GAUCAGUUACCACGCCCGAUCGUCCAACCAAAGCAGACAUGUACAAGUCGGAAUAAAAAGUGAAAAAAUGUGGUUGGCUGCUGUUUCUCGCUGUCUCUUUCUGCCUCUGAUGGGAAUUUGUAUGUAAGUCUGUGCUUGUGUACGUACUGGUGGUGUGGUCAUAUGGCGAAGAAGAAGAGCAAGAUGAAAAGUGUGGAACAAGGAGAGCAUCUCGGCAACAAUCUCAAGAAAAUUAACGCAUCGUAUGUAUUCAGAAAGAGACUUCAAAUCAGACAUCACGUAAUAAUGAUUUAAAGUAACACUACUCAGCUACCAAACAACUACUGUAUGCACGCAAUAAUAAUGAAUGCACUUACUUAAUAAUA